rnacentral:rRNA from 1 species
AUUGAACGCUGGCGGCAGGCCUAACACAUGCAAGUCGAGCGAGCGGCGGACGGGGGAGUAAUGUCUGGGAAACUGCCUGAUGGAGGGGGAUAAAUACUGGAAACGGUAGCUAAUACCGCAUACCAUCAGAUGUGCCCAGAUGGGAUUAGCUAGUAGGUGGGGUAACGGCGCACUUAGGCGACAAUCCCGAGCUGGGCUGAGAGGAUGACCAGCCACCCUGGAACGGAUACACUGUCCAGACUCCUCCGGGAGGCAGCAGUGGGGAAUAGUGCACAAUGGGCGCAAGCCUGAUGCAGCCAUGCCGCGUGUGUGAAGAAGGCCUUCGGGUUGUAAAGCACUUUCAGCGGGGAGGCGUUACCCGCAGAAGAAGCACCGGCUAACUCCGUGCCAGCAGCCGCGGUAAUAC